UAAGACAGAGGGUGCGAGCGUUGUUCGGAAUUACUGGGCGUAAAGGGCGCGUAGGCGGUCUGUUAAGUUCGGUGUGAAAGCCCUCGGCUCACCCGAGGAAGUGCGCCGGAUACUGACAGACUUGAGUACCGGAGAGGAGGGUGGAAUUCCUGGUGUAGCGGUGAAAUGCGUAGAUAUCAGGAGGAACACCGGUGGCGAAGGCGGCCCUCUGGACGAGUACUGACGCUGAGGCGCGAAAGCGUGGGGAUCAAACAGGA
rnacentral:rRNA from 1 species